CCCCGAUNAGCCGGUCUCGCGAAUGCCUCUAGGAUUAAGUUUGAUCAUGGCUCAGAACGAACGCUGUUCGGCGUGCUUAACACAUGCAAGUCGAGCGAGGCCUGGGGGGCAACUCCCAGAGUCGAGCGGCGGACGGGUGAGUAACACGUGGGUAACCUGCCCGGAAGUGGGGAAUACCUCGGGGAAACUCGAGCUAAUACCGCAUGACAUCUCCGGGACGAAAGUCCUGGCGAUCAAAGCGGGGUCGCAAGAUCUCGCGCUACCGGAUGGGCCCGCGCCCGAUUAGCUAGUUGGUGAGGUAACGGCUCACCAAGGCUUCGAUCGGUAACCGGCCUGAGAGUGGCGAUCGGUCACACCGGAACUGAGACACGGUCCGGACUCCUACGGGAGGCAGCAGUGGGGAAUCUUGCGCAAUGGGCGAAAGCCUGACGCAGCAACGCCGCGUGGAGGAUGGAGGCCUUUGGGUUGUAAACUCCUGUCGGCUGGGAAGAAAUCGUACGGUGCUCAUACCACCGUACGUUGACUGUACCAGCAAAGGAAGCCCCGGCUAACUCUGUGCCAGCAAGCCGCGUGUAAUACAGAGGGGGCCAAGCGUUAUUUCGUGAAUUUAUUUGGGCAGUAAGGGGCGCGUAAGGCGGCCAUGCGUGUCUUCCGUGAAAAAUCCCUUCGGGCUUAACUAGAGGACUGGCGGAAGGAACUGCAAGGCAUCGAAUCCGGGAAGAGGGGGGUGNAAUUCCCAUUGUANNCGGUGAAAAUGCCGUUGAUNUUGGGAGGANCACGGUGGCGAAGGNGGCCCCUGGAACGGAUUUACNGCUAAG
rnacentral:rRNA from 1 species